UACGUAGGAGGCGAGCGUUGUCCGGAAUUACUGGGCGUAAAGCGCGCGUAGGCGGUCUGGUACGACCGGUGUGAAAGCCCCCGGCUCAACUGGGGAGGGUCACUGGUAACGGCACAGGCUGACACGAGUGCAGGAGAGGGACGUGGAACUCCGGGAGUAGCGGUGAAAUGCGUAGAGACCCGGAGGAACACCAGUGGCGAAGGCGGCGUCCUGGCCUGCGACUGACGCUGAGGCGCGAAAGCUAG
rnacentral:rRNA from 1 species